rnacentral:rRNA from 1 species
GAUGAACGCUGGCGGCGUGCCUAAUACAUGCAAGUCGAACGCUGGAGAUCUAGCUUGCUAGAUCGAAGGAGUGGCGAACGGGUGAGUAAUACAUAAGCAACCUACCCACGAAGACUGGGAUAAUCUCUGGAAACGGGGACUAAUACCGGAUAGGUAAUCGGAAGGCAUCUUCUGGUUAUUAAAGGUUAAAAACACUGGUGGAUGGGCUUAUGGCGCAUUAGUUAGUUGGUGAGGUAACGGCCCACCAAGACGAUGAUGCGUAGCCGGCCUGAGAGGGUGAACGGCCACAGUGGGACUGAGACACGGCCCAGACUCCUACGGGAGGCAGCAGUAGGGAAUUUUCGGCAAUGGGGGCAACCCUGACCGAGCAACGCCGCGUGAGUGAAGACGGCCUUCGGGGUGUAAAGCUCUGUUGUAAGGGAAGAACGGUAGAUAGAGAAUAUCUAAGUGACGGUACCUUACCAGAAAGCCACGGCUAACUACGUG